UACGUAGGGUGCAAGCGUUAAUCGGAAUUACUGGGCGUAAAGCGUGCGUAGGUGGUUUGUUAAGUCUGUCGUGAAAUCCCCGGGCUCAACCUGGGAAUGGCGAUGGAUACUGGGCAGCUAGAGUGUGUCAGAGGAUGGUGGAAUUCCCGGUGUAGCGGUGAAAUGCGUAGAGAUCGGGAGGAACAUCAGUGGCGAAGGCGGCCAUCUGGGACAACACUGACGCUGAAGCACGGAAGCGUGGGGAGCAAACAGG
rnacentral:rRNA from 1 species